UUAUCAAUUGGUCGCUCAGUUAGUGCACUACGCAGAAGGACAAGAAAGUCCGCGGACUCCGCUAAGACCGAGACUACCUGAAGUCGCUGUGGCUAGCACUUCCGGUACCGGCCCUAAAAGCGGUCCUACCAGAAGGAAGAGAAAGUCAUUCUGACUGGUCUGUGGAGAACUGGCUGAGUGGGUUUGAAAAAGACAAGAGACAUAUUUAUAAGAGUCCAGUGAGCAAAUGAAGAUAUUCCAGUGCUUGAAUAUAAUCUGUGUGUAAAAAAUACCUGCGAAGAAUUAAUCAGUUCAAUGAAUUUAUGGCCAAAUGACUGACUUGAUUGAAAUGAAAGAAAUCCAAUUCGGUUCCUCUCAAAGGAAAUCUCACAGCUGAUAUUAUGAUAAUAAACAAUUAACCAUUGUUUUUGUUCACAUUAAGUAAACUAAAUAUUGGAGAAGUAAUUAAAACUCAAGAGGUGAGAAUUCCGCCCCUAGAUGUGAAUAUGAACAGAUUUUGACAGUUUCCGCAGGAAAGCGCUGUACAGCCCAGGUUUUCAGUUCGGACGCCUGGUGGCACUACAGACUAAAAAGUAGGAGGAGGAGGAGCCCUGCAUUUGCCUGCAGACUCCAUCUUAGAAAAGACAAAAUCUGAAAGGUGCUGGGAACAGAUACGAGUUGGAAAACGUCCGCAGCGAGCUCAGAUUUUAGAGCUUUCUUCAAACGAAUGGGGACUACACAAAUGUUUGGAAGUCUUACAGGACUUCCGAAGACUUCAUUUACUAAAGGCAAUGCACUCAGAGGAUAUACAGGAAAUUGUGCGAGAAAAAAAUCUGGCAGAAAACGCAGGUGGUGGGUUUUCAUUUUCUUCCCGGGCGUAGCGCAGGCGGCCCAGGAAAAGGAAAACUGCUUUUUUAUGGUCAGGGUUUCUGGAGAUUGGCGCUGGCGGCGGAAAGGGGAGCGGCGGGAGGACAGACUGGAGCAGGAUAGUUUCCAAAGAGACCAAAUAACAUUUCAGAUCGACCCACAGAAGGGUCCUUGCUCUCAAGUAGAAAAUCGGACCUAUAGGAGCCCUGCAUUUCCAAGAAUUACCUGUAUUAAAAAAAAAAAUUUUUUUUUUGGCUUUUGAGAAAAAUCUGUGUCUGAGGUGUAACCGUUUCCUCCUUUGAAAAAUUCUUCUGAAUGUACCAGAAUGUGCACCAGGAACAUGUAUGAGGUUUGGGUAAAUUUUCCAUCAUUGGAAACUACACACUGAUUUUCAAUUUCCAUGUUCACAAUAAUGUGCUGUGCAAUAUUGGGGUAAGUAAUUUGUCCAUACGUGUGAAAAAAAUCGCUGGAUGAACCACAAUCCAAGGUAAGUUUAACUCUCCCAGAGAAGAAUGGUAGAUAUCUGAGACCUCCUAAGUCCAAGUCAUGACAAUCAAUGACAAUCUUUGAGAUGCAGGUCUCACAGCAACCGGCUGAAGAUUUAGUCUGAGUAAAUAAUUAUGAAUCGGCUCUCAGAAUUCUCCAGGCUCACUGAAUUCUGCAACCUCUGGAGAGCAUUUUAUAUGCUAGCAGAACAUUUUAAAUACCACGGAUACCCCAUGCAUCAUAAGCAUCCACUGCAAGAGAAUUACCAGGAAAUUUCAGUGCCACGUGGCAAAUACUCAGGCAAUUACAAGCAGAAAUAGUUUCAGAAAUUGUUUCUUCAUGUGAAGGACGGUGGAAGACAAUGCCAUUGGAUGACAAUCACAUAGAAUUGGUCAUGUUGACACUUAUCUGCCUCAUCCUGGAGCACUUCUGGAAAGACUUCAUCUGUUUGAGAACCAUAAUCUCAGCACCCUGAGAUAAAACAACAAUAACAACAAAAACAAAACAAAACAAGAAAAAGCUUUGAUCCUUCCUACCAGAGUUUUCUUUUCAUUGGAUAUUUAAAAUAUUCCAUAAUCUGACAACCUAAUAAUGCAAACCAGAAAAGAGAGCUACACGCAACAUCACUGUAUUUCCAAUGAAAUUAGGUUCCAGGAAGCUCAAAACAAGACAGUAGGUAGAGACAGCUAUCAUCCUUGGCGUUCUUCCUUUUGGAUUCUGGAUAAAAGGUAGAGGAAUAACAGCACCGUUCUGAAUGUUUUGGUUAUUUUAUGGCUCUAAUUUCCAUCGUGUUUUUUUUCUGAAGCAUAGCUAAUUGUUCAUUAACAGUUAACAGAUAUUGAUGGCUUAGCUAUUUUUAUCUUUUUAUCUAUUUCACAAAGGUCUAUUUAGAAGCUAGUAGUGUAUUUCCUCUUUAUUGUUAAGCACAGAAAAGGAACGCAUUUUUUUCUGCUCAUGCCUAGUUUCCUUUGAUCUUUCUCAAAGGUAAAUUACCCCUAAAACUUUGAGUAGACUGUCCUAGCAGAUAUUCUGAAGCUUGACAAGGAAAUUCAUCCCACUUCAAUCCAUAAAAUGAUAGUCUUCGUAACUUCUCAAAGAAGGUCAAGCUAUUUAUUUUAAAGUCAUCUUUUGCUUUUCUUGAUAUUUCGUAAAUGAUGGCUGACAAGUUGUGAUAGUCUACUUUUCAGCAGGACUGGUCUCCAUUUACUUAGUUUAAGUAACUAUUUACUUGAUUACUAUUAUUAAUAUAUGGUUUUAACUUUUUAUUUGAAAUAGUCAUUUGAUGAUUUUGGUGAUAUUGAUGACCACGAAAUCAAAUGGAGAUAUACAACUACAAGAAAAAAAACUGUAGAAAUAAAUGUCUUUUUCGUUAUUUAAGAUGUAAAUCAACUGAGUUGCUGUGUAGCUUAUUUAUGUCAAUGUUAAAUUUGUGUUUGUUAAUUUUUACUAAGUUUCCUUAUUAAACAUCAAAAAUGAUAAAUUCUUUGGCAAUUAAUAUCAUAGCAUAUCCAGUACAUUAAAUGUCAUGUAAAAUAGACCGACAAAACAAUCUUAUCUUUUUUUUCUUUAUGUCAGUGUUUAAUGCUCUCCUGUAUGGCUUAGGAAAAUUAAAGAAGAUACAACAGAAUAUGCCUCAAAUAAGACCUAUUUGUUGAUAUUUAAUAUAUUUAUGAUAGUUGCUGAGAAAAUGAAAACAGACAUUAUUCAAUACACUGGAUAAUAAUUACAGAAAUACAAAGUGUUUGGUGUUUUCAUUCGCCUUUCUCAAAUACUUUUU